rnacentral:ncRNA from 1 species
CAACCCACGGAUUAAAAGGGAAUCGGGUGAAAGUCCCGAACAGUCCCGCUGCUGUGAAGCUCAUCAAGCACGUUGACAAUUACUCAUUGCCACUGGAUAAAACCGGGAAGGUGUCAAAGCGUGUGAGUCAGUCAGAAGACCUGCCAUCGUUUUUAU